UACGUAGGUGGCGAGCGUUAUCCGGAAUUACUGGGUGUAAAGGGCGCGCAGGCGGCAUUAAAAGUCAGGUGUGAAAGCCCAAGGCUUAACUUUGGACGGUCAUCUGAAACUUUAGUGCUUGAGUGUCAGAGGGGAAAGUGGAAUUCCUAGUGGAGCGGUAAAAUGCGCAGAGAUUAGGAGGAACACCGGUGGCGAAGGCGACUUUCUGGCUGACAACUGACGCUGAGGCGCGAAAGCGUGGGGAGCAAACAGGAUUAGAUACC
rnacentral:rRNA from 1 species